UACGUAGGCGGAAAAUUAAGUCAGUAGUGAAAUCCUGCAGCUUAACUGUAGAACUGUUAUUGAUACUGGUUUUCUUGAAUAUAGUUGAGGUAGGCGGAAUGUGUAAUGUAGCGGUGAAAUGCUUAGAUAUUACACAGAACACCGAUUGCGAAGGCAGCUUACUAAGCUAUGAUUGACGCUGAGGUACGAAAGCGUGGGGAGCGAACAGGAUUAGAACCCUGGUAGUCC
rnacentral:rRNA from 1 species